rnacentral:rRNA from 1 species
CGAGCGAGAAGCCUCCUUCGGGAGGUGGAAAGCGGCGGAAGGGACAGGAACACGUGGAUUACGUACCCUCGGGUCCGGAAUAGCUGCGGGAAACUGCAAGUAAUGCCGGAUGACAUCUUCGGAUCAAAGGUGAGAUUCCGCCCGAGGAGCGGUCCGCGUCCUAUUAGUUAGUUGGUGGGGUAAUGGCCUACCAAGGCUGUGAUGGGUAGCGGGUGUGAGAGCAUGACCCGCGUCACUGGGACUGAGACACUGCCCAGACACCUACGGGUGGCUGCAGUCGAGAAUCUUCGGCAAUGGGCGAAAGCCUGACCGAGCGACACCGCGUGCGGGAUGAAGGCCUUCGGGUUGUAAACCGCUGUCAGAGGGGAGGAAGGCUCCGUGAAGAGCGGAGUUUGACCUAUCUUCAGAGGAAGGACGGGCUAAGUUCGUGCCAGCGGCCGCGGUAAGACGAACCGUCCAAACGUUAUUCGGAAUCAUUGGGCUUAAAGGGUGCGUAGGCGGUGUCGUAAGUCGGGUGUGAAAUCCCUCAGCUCAACUGAGGAACUGCGCCCGAUACUGCGGUGCUGGAGGAAGGCAGGGGUGAGCGGAACUGAUGGUGGAGCGGUGAAAUGUGUUGAUAUCAUCAGGAACACCGGUGGCGAAGGCGGCUCACUGGGCCUUUUCUGACGCUGAGGCACGAAAGCUAGGGGAGCAAACGGGAUUAGAUACCCCGGUAGUCCUAGCUGUAA